rnacentral:rRNA from 1 species
GGCAGCAGUAGGGAAUAUUGCGCAAUGGGGGAAACCCUGACGCAGCAACGCCGCGUGGAGGAUGACACUUUUCGGAGCGUAAACUCCUUUUCUUAGGGAAGAAUUCUGACGGUACCUAAGGAAUAAGCACCGGCUAACUCCGUGCCAGCAGCCGCGGUAAUACGGAGGGUGCAAGCGUUACUCGGAAUCACUGGGCGUAAAGGGCGCGUAGGCGGAUUAUCAAGUCUCUUGUGAAAUCCAACGGCUUAACCGUUGAACUGCUUGGGAAACUGGUAAUCUAGAGUGGGGGAGAGGCAGAUGGAAUUGGUGGUGUAGGGGUAAAAUCCGUAGAUAUCACCAAGAAUACCCAUUGCGAAGGCGAUCUGCUGGAACUUAACUGACGCUAAGGCGCGAAAGCGUGGGGAGCAAACAGGAUUAGAUACCCUGGUAGUCCACGCCCUAAACGAUGUAUGCUAGUUGUUGGGGUGCUAGUCAUCUCAGUAAUGCAGCUAACGCAUUAAGCAUACCGCCUGGGGAGUACGGUCGCAAGAUUAAAACUCAAAGGAAUAGACGGGGACCCGCACAAGCGGUGGAGCAUGUGGUUUAAUUCGAAGAUACGCGAAGAACCUUACCUGGGCUUGAUAUCCUAAGAACCUUAUAGAGAUAUGAGGGUGCUAGCUUGCUAGAACUUAGAGACAGGUGCUGCACGGCUGUCGUCAGCUCGUGUCGUGAGAUGUUGGGUUAAGUCCCGCAACGAGCGCAACCCACGUAUUUAGUUGCUAACACUUCGGGUGAGCACUCUAAAUAGACUGCCUUCGUAAGGAGGAGGAAGGUGUGGACGACGUCAAGUCAUCAUGGCCCUUAUGCCCAGGGCGACACACGUGCUACAAUGGCAUAUACAAUGAGACGCAAUACCGCGAGGUGGAGCAAAUCUAUAAAAUAUGUCCCAGUUCGGAUUGUUCUCUGCAACUCGAGAGCAUGAAGCCGGAAUCGCUAGUAAUCGUAGAUCAGCCAUGCUACGGUGAAUACGUUCCCGGGUCUUGUACUCACCGCCCGUCACACCAUGGGAGUUGAUUUCACUCGAAGCCGGAAUACUAAACUAGUUACCGUCCACAGUGGAAUCAGCGACUGGGGUGAAGUCGUAACAAGGUAACCGUAGGAGAACCUGCGGUUGGAUCACCUCCUUUCUA